rnacentral:rRNA from 1 species
UACGAAGGGUGCAAACGUUGCUCGGAAUUAUUGGGCGUAAAGCGCACGUAGGCGGCAUUGCAAGUCGGAUGUGAAAUCCCUCGGCUUAACCAAGGAAGUGCAUCCGAAACUGCAGUGCUUGAGUACUUAAGAGGAUCGCGGAAUUCCCGGUGUAGAGGUGAAAUUCGUAGAUAUCAGGAGGAACACCGGUGGCGAAGGCGGAUCUCUGGGCCAUUACUGACGCUGAGGAGCGAAAGCGUGGGGAGCGAACAGG